CUUGUCUUGUUUUAUUUCGUCUUGUAGUCCCAGUUCAUGUACAGUCCUGUCCUGCCCUGUUUAUGUUUCUCUCAUGUCUUAUGUACAUGUUUUGGGUUCUGCUUUCUGCCCUUCUCCGGUUCUGGGUACUUCUAGUCUUGUAUUAUUUUCUUGUUUGGUGCCUGUUCUAGUCUUGCCUUGUUUCUAGUACUGGAUACAUCUCAGCAUAUCAUCUGCUUAAUAUCAGCUCCUGGCAUCCGCUAAGCUUCUUCUGGGCUCUGGUAUGUGGCCACACAAACCUUGAUGCUCAACACCAGGGGGCGUGUGUUUACCCUGCACCAGACCCUGAUUGUCCACUUCCACGCUGAGACUCCUAUCUUUAUCAUCAGUCAUUCAGGGGUCCCGGUAUUGAACCGCCACCUGUGACAGUCCGACAGAAAUCUGCUAAAGUUCUGCUAUUUUGAUUUGACUAGCCUAUAUCUAGUAUAAAAUGAUAAAUGCACUUGUAUUUUGCCGCCUAAAGAGAUCUGGGAAUGAAGAUCCCCACAUCUGCGGUUUAGCCCCUAAAGCAUCCUCAUAACAAUGCAUAUUGUAGUAUACAUCUCAAUGGUGAUGACAAAGAUAUAUAUCUGCAAGCUUCAGUUUACUGUGAUAGGCAUACAGUCAAAAUAAUCAUGGCAUAGUGUAAUAAAACAAAUUAUACUAAUACUUGCAUUAGAAACCUCUUUAAUGUCCAUUAUGGGCCACAUUUAUAUCUUAGAGAAAAACACACAAACUAGAUGUAAGAACACAAAAUUGCUCGAAUGAUCUGAUAAAUUUAGCACUCAUAUUUUUAAGAGAUCUAACUCAGCUCUUUGAUGACACAAAACCAAUGUGCUAAACAUUUAUUAUCAUACAAUUGUCAUUUUUAGCUUACUUUACCAUGAGUGAAUAAAUCUAUUGAACAUCAUCACUCUCUGAUAGGGGUAGCAUGAAAAUCGAUCUGUUUGAAGUUACUUUAAUGGUGAGAUACAUAUACAAUUCUUUAG